UGAACGGUCCGGAUCAGAAAUGUGUGAUAAACUGAACAUUACAGGGCUGUGUCACUAAAUUGUGGAGAAGUCUUACCGUUUCUGUUAUUGUAGUUUUUCAAAACGUUUAAUCUGGUGAUACAUACAUAAGCUGACAAACAUCUGGUUACUCUAAAUACAAAAAACGGGAAGCUCACACACCGAAGAGCCUUAAGUUAAGGAUGUAUUCAUUAAACAGAAAUGUAAAGUGGCUAACCGGGCUGAAAAUACACGCGACUCCUUUUCGAAAAUAACGAAAGCGACGCCAUUUUACGCAAGCAACCCAAAAUUGAAGACUUGACAAUUUGGAUAUGGCCAAUUUUCAAAACGUUUUUACUAGCACUGAAUAUCGAAACUGGAUGAUAUGCCAUUUUGCACAAAGCCUUGCUAAGGAUGUUCUAACUGAUGUCGUUGAGGCAGAAACUGAAUCGUUUCGUAUUCACAUACUACAACAUGCUCAAAUCACUACGCUUUAACCACAAGGUACAGUAUGUAACAAAUGCAUGACUCCUAAUGUUAUCAAAUGCCCUACAAAGACAGUGUGCAAAACAAAACACAGACGCUGUACAUUUAACAACAGUGUCGCUCUAAGUAACAGAAGAUGUCCAACGAACCGAAUAUGUGAUAGUUUAUGCAAAUCGAUCAUCGACAAUCAUCGUUUUAAAGGACCUUCCUGGAAAAAUACGGACGCAACCCAAUGGUGCACGAUCGCAUGGUCGAUCACUAAAUGUUACAUUCCCCCAGAUGGUUAUGAGAAUGUGAACACGGCUCGUGAUACCGAUUUUAACGGCAUCGUGAAUAUCAUCAUCAACUGUAUCAAAUUCCAGAAGUACUUGAAAGAAGACCUUAGCGAAUCUGCCAAUAUCUGCACAAAGGUUAUAUCUUUUUAAUAAGAUAUUGAACUGAAAGGCGAUGCUUAAUGUUCUUUUCCCGUGCUUACAUGAAUUAUGUUUUUUUGUUAUUGUUCAAGGGCAUUUUCCAUGCUCAAUAAUGUGUCUCUUUCAAGUCUUGUUUAACAUUAAGUAUGGUGAUUAUCAUUUUAUAAAAAAUACUGGUUCAUAAUUAUAUCCUUUUUCAUAACAUUUCAUUUGCUUAAACUGAAUUACAAGAAAAUGAAUCAAUUGAUCUUUUUAGGUUAGAGACAAGAACAAAACGCUAAAAUAUUCCCCUACUAUGAGGAUAGCUGAUGACGAGAAGGGCAAUUUUAUAAUCACCCUCGUGGGCAUUCUUAAUGAUUCAGUAAACGUGAACAAUCCUUCUAAAUUUACAGAGACAAGCCAGAAACUACUUAAGGUAAAGACGCAAACAUCAAAUGGAACGUGUAUAUAUUUUAGCGUUUUCAAAUGAUUUAAAGAUUCCAAUUGUAAACACACUUUUUGCAAUAAUGGUUUAGCGGCGUUUAAUACGGUUAUGUUAGUAAAUUGGAAAAUUAAGUGGUUAUUUGCUGAAAAUAUCCAGAUCUAGAUGAAUAAGGCGUAUAUUAUCCACGCGUCAACUAGAACUUCUAGAGGGCCUAGCAUAGCUCAAACUCCAAUCUAAUGUUUAAUUAGUGAUGGAAAAACUUAAAAGAAUUACUUGUUAAAUUACUUGUAUCGUCGCUUAAGAACUGCCUGUGAAAAACACCUUCAUAAAAAAGUCAGCAUACAACCGGAAUUAAAGUUAUUUGCGCUUAACCAUUUAAAUAUUAUACUAACAAUUACCUUGAUUUGACAUGUAAUUCAAGCUAACCACUCCGCGCACCAUUCACGUCUCCAAAAUAUAAAAGUUCUCAAAUUAAACAAAAGUAAUUGACCAAACCUCGAUUUACAGCUUCUUUUAACAAAUGAUAAAUAAUACAUAUUCGAUCACUUGUGGUUUGUCUUUGCAAAACUUAAUUGUCUUUUGGCCUUCUUCUGUGCAACUUAAACAUAUUUAAUUUAGACCACCAGGGAACAGUGAAGCUAUGUUUUAUCCCGAGGCGGCUUAAAUAAAGUAUCUUAUUAUUGUCAAUAUAUAUUUAUAAAAUAUAUCUUCAGUUA